UUUCCUACGGGACGCAGCAGUGGGGAAUAUUGCACAAUGGGGGAUCCCUGAUGCAGCGACGCCGCGUGGGUGAAGGAGUAUUUCGGUAUGUAAAGCCCUAUCAGCAGGGAAGAAAAUGACGGUACCUGACUAAGAAGCCCCGGCUAACUACGUGCCAGCAGCCGCGGUAAUACGUAGGGGGCAAGCGUUAUCCGGAUUUACUGGGUGUAAAGGGAGCGUAGACGGCAUAGCAAGUCUGAUGUGAAAGAUCGGGGCUCAACCCCGGGCCUGCAUUGGAAACUGUUAAGCUGGAGGACAGGAGAGGG
rnacentral:rRNA from 1 species